ensembl:lncRNA
UAAUUUUUUAAUAUUUUUAUAAUUUUUUAAAUAAUUUUUAUAAUUCUACUAAACUAAUGAAGUUAAGGAAGGAUUGGUAGAGGCAAGGACAAAGGGCCCAAAGAAAUCUCACAACACAGGAGUUCUUUCUUUGAUCCAAACAGCAAAUCCCAGUAAGGUGUCACCAGCAACAGCAGAGUUCACCACUCUAUCAACAGCAGUAAAUCCAGGCAGACUAUCAGGACAGUCAAAGAGAGGAAACCAAUGGCUUUUCUGGGUCCACCCCAGAAGUACCAAACAGCUACCCUCUGGGUAGCCUGACAGCUAGAGCAAAAGCAGGCUUCUUUCUCUUCCAGAGUCCACCAACUGCCAGCACCAGCCUGUGUGUUCCGUUCAUCCCUUCCUGGGAGCUUUGGAAUGUUGGUCCUGUCAUUGCCCUGUGGGAUCUUUUGCUUCUUGCUUUUUGCAAAGCGAAUCCCUUACAACAAAUCCAAAUCUCAAAUAAUCACAAGUUAUUAUGACAUCAUUAAUGGCUGGAGCAGUGUCAAAGAGACCAUCUCCCAGGCCCAUUGCUAGGGCACUGCCCAAUUUCCGAGAUGUCAAAUAGAAAGAUGGCAGAAAAGCUCCAGCUCUGCUUGUUUCCAAGCAGAAAAGAAGACAGAUCACUGGAUCACUGGAAGCCCUCGGCAGCCUGCCAUGGAGAGGGGCUCUUGGGGAGAGAAGAAGCCUGUUUCAAGCCCAGAUGCUCUUAUUUACUUGUUGUCUGCCUCUUGUCAUUUCCCCUGGGCAGGGAAGCCAGGCCCUUCUCCUCCUGCUUGCCUAAGUUCAGUCACUCCUUCUUGCUCAUCCUACCCUUCCAUGAGGGAUGUACAGUGUUCAAAAAGGACUAGCACCUCUGGUGUGAGGGCUUACCAAGUCCUUUUCAAGGUUGCUCAUCUACUCUAGUGUCCACUUGGCACUCAACUCUCACCCAUGACUCCAAGAGGCAUGCACAGGGGCUACAUCCCAGUAAACCAGGUUGGAAAUUACCAAUGGGUCCCAAAUUCAUCUUUGAGUUAGAGGGUUGCAUAUUCCAUGUAUGUGAAGACUUCCCCCGGUGGAAUGGGGGGAUAAGAAUAAUUUCUUCCAAUGGCCAUUAAGGUGGCUGGAGCAUCUAGAGCUUGGUCAGACAUGAAAGAACAUCCAAUGCAUCCCAGGCCAUUGCCAGGCCUGACUUUUGUUCUUCCACUGGACAUUGAUGAUUCUGGAAGAUAGAGUGAGACUUGAUGACUUUGCACAACUCUGUCUCACUUAAGUCCAAUUCAUGGGCAAGUUAAGAUGUCCCCUUGAUAUCAUUAGUCCUCUCUGAAAUGAAGGACAAACAACAACCACCUUCCAGAAACAUUUCCCUUCUCCUCAUAUAGCUGUCUUCCAGUAGUACUAUGUAACACAAACAAAUGACAGGAUUUGGUGACAUUGAAAAGGAUGAGGGCGAUGCCACAGGAUUCUAGCUAGAGAUCAGUGUUAGAUUAUGGAGGACAAGCUAAGAAGUUGCGAGGAUAAAUGGAAAACUUGUUUUCCAUUAGAGAAAGAGAAUAAGUGGGAGGGAGGUUCAGUUUAAAAGGGAAAAUUAAGGGAAGCCAUCAACAAGGAAAGCAAAGAUGGAGCCAGAGGAAGAGCAAAGGUGAGAAGUCUGUCUGAGCAAGAGAUGUCUUUCUGAGAAUCCUCAAUAUGGGGAAGAGAUGAAGCCAGAGGACAUAAGUUAAUUCAGGUAAUGAAAGUCUAGAGACAAAUGUUGGGCCAAGGAUUGAGCCUUCGGGGAAAAGCCAGUAGCUUAGAGGAAAGAUAAAAGAGCCAAAGAAAAGAAAAAUUAAACAGCAGAGUGAGCAAAAGAAAUGUAGUUUCAUUAAAAGAAUCAAAGGACAGUUUCACAAAGGAUAGUCUAUAAUGACGAUGGGGUGUGGGAUGGUGGUGGAAGAGAAUGAUAGGUCAUUGUGAAGGAAUUAGGUCAGCAGAUCACCUGAAUUUGGUUCAAGAGGAAACCCCACCCCAGAGGGGAGCAGCUUAGGGGGUGCAGGAGAUGUGGCCACCCCAAAGGGGAAGGGAGCAGCACAGCCCACCUGUGGCAGAGGUAGAGGGAAUGACAGCUCUUCUCACUGUCAUAGCAUCUGUCACUGCUAACCUAGGAGAGCUCUGAAGGGAAAUUGAAGAAUGCAAGUUGGAACUCACAGGAAAACCAUCAAAGAUGGUGAUGAGAAUAAAAGGGGUGGCGGGGGGUGGGGGGGGCA